rnacentral:rRNA from 1 species
GACGGAGGGCGCAAGCGUUGUUCGGAAUUACUGGGCGUAAAGCGCGCGCAGGCGGGAAGGUAAGUCUGGAGUGAAAUUCCGAGGCUCAACUCCGGAGCUGCUUUGGAUACUGUCUUUCUAGGGACCGGUAGAGGCCGGUGGAAUUCCCGGUGUAGCGGUGGAAUGCGUAGAUAUCGGGAGGAACACCGAUGGCGAAGGCAGCCCCCUGGGCUAACACUGACG